rnacentral:tRNA from 1 species
GCGGAUCUGACGGGAACGGUAUACCUCGGCGGCUUAAACCCGCUGGCGUCCCGGUUCGAGUCCGGGGGUCCGCACCA